GAGCAACGCCCAGGACUCCCCGGGAAGGGAGGGUGCCACACUGCCUUCGCGUCGGGCGUUCCCUCUGUAUUAGGUUGGUGCAAAAGUAAUUGCGGUUUUGGCCACCGAAAUGGAGACUUUCAGUUUCUUCAAACUCUGUUCAAUAAAUAACAAUUGGGCCAGGCGCGGUGGCUCACGCCUGCAAUCCCAGCACUUUGGGAGGCCAAGGCCGGCGGAUCACGAGGUCAGGAGAUCGCAGACCAUCCUGGCUAACACGGCGAAACCCCGUCUCUACUAAAAAUACAGAAAAUUAGCCGGGCAUGGUGGCGGGCACCUGUACUCCCAGCUACUCGGGAGGCUGAAGCAGGAGAAUGGCAUGAACCCGGGAGGCAGAGCUUGCAGUGAGCCGAGAUCGUGCCACUGCACUCCAGCCUGGGCAAUAGAGUGAGACUCCGUCUUAAAAAAAAAAAAAGAAAAAAAAAGAUAUGUCAUUGCAGUUGCGUGUAUGUGUGUGUGUGUGUGUACAUAUAAUUUUUUUUUUUUUUUAGCCCUGUCGCCCAGGUUAGAGUGCAGUGGUGCCAUCUUAGCUCACUGCAGCCUCAAAUUCCUGUGCUCAAGCAGUCCUCCCACCUCAGCCUCUGGGGUAGGUGCGAUGAUAGGCAUGCACUACCAUGCCCAGCUAAUUUUUUAAAAUUUCUUGCAGAGACAAGGUCUUGCUAUGUUGCCCAGGCUGGUCUUAGACUCCUGUGCUCAAGUGAUCUUCCCUCCUCGGCCUCCCAAAGUGCUGACAUUUCAGUCAUGAGCCAACCACACCCAGCGUCGGUUGUAUGUAUUUCUGUGUAUCUGUACAGAAAAGGAGUAGAACACAUAACUAAUUAACAUUGGUUAUUUUUGGGAAGGAAAGUGGAAUUGGGUGGUGGUCAAAAGGCAAAGAAACAACUUAUAUUAUUGUUUGAAUAUUUAGGAGAAUAUUAUCUUAGAAAUAAAAAAAGUAAGUUGAGAUCCAGAUACAAUGCAUGAUCUCUAAGAUUCUUUCUAGGGAAGCCUUAGAUCUCAAUUAUAUUUUCUCACCUGGAUGGACACAUAGGGCCAUAAAAAAUUAUCAAGUACCACACAGACACACACACAGACACACACACACACGCACACAUACACACAGCACAAAUGGGAAAAAACAUAGUGAAGUUACUGCUGUCAUCUAAAUCAUCUGAGUGUUUUGCUUCAUUAAUAUUAAUAUUGUUCAUGACAGUCUCCUUCUCUCUCAGUUUGGCCAAGAAGGAAGUCCUGUGGUCACUCAGUGUGUCCGUUUUAGCACUAACUAGCAUUCUGGUUUCUAGUUCAUUUCUUAGCUCACUAAACUGGCAUUAAAAUAGUCAAGAUAGGAACCCUUGGACUAUCCAAGCAUAUUCAAGGAUAGCUAGUUUCUCCCAGAUCAAGAUAUACACUCAGAGCUGGGUUUUCUGUACAAAUUUGAAAGAGUAGACACAGGUAGAUGUAAGCAAAAAAAAAGUUUUAUGGCUACCAACCAUUAACAUAAUGAUGUACAUGAUACAAAAGCAUGUCCAUUAAAAAGUAAAAACAGGAUGUUCUGAUUGGUGAAACACAGGUGAUUUCCGGGUUUGGCACUGCAGUCCCAAAAGGGUGGGUCAUAUGUCCGCUGUAUCCCAUUCCCAAACUCUUUACUACUCUGAGUAAUCUUUUUUUCUUUGGUUGUAUAUCCUGAUGGUAGAAAGCUCCAUAGCAACAGUUUGACAGGUAUAUUAGUGAUAAGUAAACUAAUAAAGUUUUUAGAUUUAUGGCACAAAAAUAACCAAAAGUUACCUAAUUUAUCCAAAUAUCUGUAUUAUUUUUCUGGAAUCUGGGUAACACCCCUAUUUAAGCUAUUUAUAUUCAGUAAACCAGGCCGGGUGUGGUGGCUCACGCCUGUAAUCCCAGCACUUUGGGAGGCCAAAGCAGGUGAAUCACCUGAGGUCAGGAGUUCAAGACUAGCCUGGCCAGCUUGGUGAAACCCCAUCUGUACUAAAAAUACAAAAAUUAGUUGGGCAUGGUGGCCUGUGCCUAUAAUUCCAGCUACAUGAGAGGCUGAGGCAGGAUAAUCACUUGAACCCAGGCGGCAAAGGUUGCAGUGAGCCGAGAUCGUGCCACUGCACUCCAGCCUGGGCAACAAAGUGAGACUCUGUCUCAAAAACACAAACAAACAAAAACUGAUAAAGUAAAUGUUUUUUUGUUUUUGAUGUGUUUUAGGUAUUUGGGGUAUUUGGAAAAUGAUAAGUUAAACUUCAAUCUGUUUUGUCCACUUCUUCCCUUUCCCUGGAUUCCUACUGAAUUCCAUUGUUGUGUAUAGAUUGAAUUUUUGUGAUGGAAGAGCUUGAGCUGCUCUGUUGGAAGGAAAACAAAAAUAAAACCCUGUUAAUGCUGGUUAUUUUUCUCCCUGAGCAGUCAGGAGUUGCAAACUAGCUCUCUGUGUUACCUAGUUCUCACUGGUGACAUUUCUUGUCCUGUAAUACAGGGAGAGGAAACUCAGGAAACUACCCCAACUCUUUUUUGACAAUGCAGAUCAAACCAGAGAGAAGCACUGGUAACUUGGGAAACCAUGCGUGUCAUAACAAGAGGAGUAGGUGGCGUCUUUCAUACUGUCAUGUCUUCCUGUUUGUAUACUUGAGCAUGUCAAGGUGUCAUUUUAGGAAAGGAACUUUAUCUUUGGAUGCCAAUGGCAGAAACAACAACAAACCAGCCAGGCGCGGUGGCUCAUGCCUGUAAUCCCAGCACUUCAUGAGGCCAAGGCAGGCAGAUCACUCGAGGUCAGGAGUUCGAGACCAGCCUGGGCAACAGGGUGAAACCCUCUCUCUACUGAAAAUACAAAAAUGAGCCAGGCAUUGUGGCAGGUGCCUGAAUCCCGGCUACUCGGGAGGCUGAGGCAGGAGAAUGGCUUGAACCCAGGAGGCACAGGUUACAGUGAGCUGAGAUUGCACCACUGCACUCCAGCCCCAGUGACAGAGUGAGACUCUGUUUAAAAAAAAAGAACAGCAAAUCCCAAGAA
rnacentral:lncRNA from 1 species